GACGAACGCUGGCGGCGUGCCUAAUACAUGCAAGUUGAGCGCUGAAGGUUGGUACUUGUACCCACUGGUUGAGCAGCGAACGGGUGAGUAACGCGUGGGGAAUCUGCCUUUGAGCGGGGGACAACAUUUGGAAACGAAUGCUAAUACCGCAUAAAAACUUUAAACACAAGUUUUAAGUUUGAAAGAUGCAAUUGCAUCACUCAAAGAUGAUCCCGCGUUGUAUUAGCUAGUUGGUGAGGUAAAGGCUCACCAAGGCGAUGAUACAUAGCCGACCUGGGAGGGUGAUCGGCCACAGUGGGACUGAGACACGGCACAAACGCCGACAGGAGGCAGCAGUAGGGAAGCUUCGGCGAUGGACGAAAGUCUGACCGAGCAACGCCGCGUGAGUGAAGAAGGUUUGCGGAUCGUAAAACUCUGUUGGUAGAGAAGAACGUUGGUGAGAGGGGAAAGCUCAUCAAGUGACGGUAACUACCCAGAAAGGGACGGCUAACUACGUG
rnacentral:rRNA from 1 species